UUGGGAAGCCCUCGGGUGGAACUGUGAGUAUACUUAGUGGCGGACGGGUGAGUAACGCGUGAGCAAUCUGCCCUGCAAUGGGGGACAACAGUUGGAAACGACUGCUAAUACCGCAUAAGACCACGAAACCGCAUGGUUUAGAGGUAAAAGGAUUCAUUCGAUGCAGGAUGAGCUCGCGUCCCAUUAGAUAGUUGGUGAGGUAACGGCCCACCAAGUCAACGAUGGGUAGCCGACCUGAGAGGGUGAUCGGCCACAUUGGAACUGAGAAACGGUCCAAACUCCUACGGGAGGCAGCAGUGGGGAAUAUUGGGCAAUGGGGGAAACCCUGACCCAGCAACGCCGCGUGAAGGAAGAAGGCCUUCGGGUUGUAAACUUUUGUCCUAUGGGACGAAAAAAAUGACGGUACCAUAGGAGGAAGCUCCGGCUAACUACGUGCCAGCAGCCGCGGUAAUACGUAGGGAGCAAGCGUUGUCCGGAAUUACUGGGCGUAAAGGGUGCGUAGGUGGCCAUGUAAGUCAGGUGUGAAAGACCGGGGCUCAACCCCGGGGUUGCACUUGAAACUGUGUGGCUUGAGUACAGGAGAGGGAAGUGGAAUUCCUAGUGUAGCGGUGAAAUGCGUAGAUAUUAGGAGGAACACCAGUGGCG
rnacentral:rRNA from 1 species